rnacentral:rRNA from 1 species
AUGCAACCAGAACAAAAGAAAGCUAGAAUAGAAAAAAUUAUAGUUAACCGUGAAUUGAGAAGCUUCAAAGAUUCAAUUGCGAUGGAGAACUCUGCAUAUAUCGCAACCGAAUAGGAAGUUGGUACUUCUACCUUUCCUGUCAAACACAAAAAGCAUGUGACGCCAGGAGAAAGACAAACAUUGCUACACCGUCGUAACAAAGAAUUCAUGACAAGAUGGAUGAAAUUUUUUUCUGUAUCACCAGAAGAAGAUGCAUCCAUAACGGAAACAGGCAGUGAUGACAUAGAACCUCUACAGCAACCAAAAGUCAUGAUUUACGGUAAUGCUCUAAAUUUAAUAUAG